CCUGAAGUACGACUGGACUCCCAGGAAGAGAGAGAUGUGGUGCCUGGGCCAGUUUGCUCCUUCAGCCAGCAUCUUGUGUCCCUAAAAUCAUCGCUCCAUCUCCUCCAUUUCCUACCUGAGGGGGUGAACAUAAAGACAAGCGGUGACGACUAAAGUCUUUCCAGCUAGUCCAGGAUCGCUCUGAAGUGUCUUCAUACUGGUGGUGAUGCACUAUACAGCCGGGCCCCACUAGAGACACUGAGGCCAGUGUAGACACAAGGUGUGACGGGCUUGGGAUGGGGAGUGCAGUAGUGGCCCAGGGCUGCUCAUCCCACCGACCUCUUAGAUGAGUGGACAGAAACUGAGAGAGAGAUGGAGACACUCGGAGACAUGAAGAAACAGAUAGGGGCGGUGUGCAGAGAGAGACAGAGACCAGGACACAGAUACAGAGAGACGUGCUGAGCCAGAGCCAGAUACACAGAAAUGAGGGCAGGGAGUCCUCAGAGCCACCGCUGGAGCUCACACCACAUAUCGACAUAGCUAAUGGAGCCGAGAGGAAGCAGGCACGGUCACAGAGGUCUUUCUCACCAUGUCCCCAAGCCAUCACCAUCCCACUGGGCCAACCUCCAUAAGCCAGAGCUCAAGAUCCUACCAGGUUCUAGCCCAAGUCCCAGCCUAGAUCCCUGGUCACCUGGUGUCGCUGAGCAGAAGUAAUACUGAGCCGUCCUGCAGGCGAGCUUCGCGAACUGUCUGAUGGUCAGGCAGAGGCCUAGAGUUGUAGUAGAAGGUUCUGCGCCAAGAGCUUACACCCUGGCCCACUAGCUGUGCGCGCAGGUCACUCAGUGUGUCUCGGGGCCGCACGGUCAGUGGCAGUAGCAAUGCCUCGUCGGCUAGGUGUACCUUGAUGUGGUAGCGCUUCCAGCGGGACAGCCCUCGCCGCAGCUCCUCCAUGGCCAUUGCCAGCCUGAGACUCUCUCGCAGGUCAGCACCUGCUAGACCGGCUGAGCCACCUGCCUCCACCCCUCCUAGGCACGCCCUGCUACAGCAGCAGCCCACAGGGGUGGUGACAUUGGCUGGCCCAGCCCAGGCCUCCAUGACAAACAUUUCUCCUGUGCACAGCAUACAUCAAAGGCCCUGGGGCAAAGAACGCAGCUAUACGAAAGCACUGUGGCAGGAUGGAGAGCCUGGUGUAUUGGAGGAGUGGAGUUGGGUCCUGCUUUUGAAGCAGAAGUGAGGAGGAGAGAAGGGUGGCAAGGAAGGCAGUGUAACCCACCCACCCAUUUAUUUAUUAUUCCAGGGAACACUCUAGAACUUCCUCCCUAAUCUGUAUCUGUACUUGUUUUGUGUCUGUGGGCUCCAAAGAAACCUCAAUCUUGGGCCUUUGCCCUCUAUGGCCAUCAAGUUAGGAACAGGGUCUAAGUAGGGGAGACAGACGUCUAGGUUUGGCCUGGAAGUUCACGUGCACUGGAGGUGGGGCUCCAGGGGAUGGGUAAGAGUUCAACAUUCCCAGUUGCCCACAUUCACCACCCACUCAGUUCAGCAAGUGCUUGAUGAGGAGAGAAGCGAGUUCCAGCCUCCCGAUCCUUACAGCCAUUUCUGGGAGCCAGCCGCCUCUCCAGCACACUUCCGAAAGCACGCCUUUUCCCUCCCCGAUGCUCUCACUGCCCCACUGGAUAGAGCAGUUUGUCCUCUGCACUUGGCCUCUGACACACAAACUCUGGGCAUUUGUCACCAGCAACAAUGCAGUAGUCACUGUGUGGCCUCUAACCCUGUCAUCUCCUGCCACAGCCUCUCCUCCCCUUACCUCAGUGUCUCUGCCUGUCUACUGGGGUCUUGUAAAAAGACAUUGUUGUUACAAGGCCCUGACUUACACUUACCCAGGAAUGGGAAUGCUGAGAGAACAUUCUAGGUGUUAACUUUGACUCCGCAAAGAAAAACAAACUGAACGUUCUAAAAAUUUAGCCCAGUGACAUCUUGGUGGUGCAAACCUUUAAUCCCAGCAUUUGGGAGGCAGAGGCAGGCAGAUUCCUGUGAGGUCAGCUUUAUCAAAGAGAGAUCAUGACCCCUGUUACUCCCAAAAAAGACAGGUAAGAGAAUAUAUAGGAAAAAAUAUAUCUCAGUGUGCUGUGUAGGGUGACAUUAAUUGUCCCAUUUGCCCACAUUCACCACCCACACAGUUCAGUAAGUAUCUGUAAAGGGAGCCUUUAAUUGAAAGAUUAAUAACUGACAACAUGCAAAUAUAAAACACCUACACACAAACACUUCACACAUGAAAACUGCAACAAAGCCAUUGAAAAUUUCCAAUAGUCAAAAUAGACAAAAAAGACUGACUUCCACCGUACGUAAAAAGCUUCUGGAAACCAACAAUAAGAUAGAAAAAUGGAUAGACAACUUAACAGGUUUAUGAAAAAUGGUACAUCCUUCAUGUAAAACUAAAAAUGGAAACCGAGGGUGGGCAUUUGACAAGGAAAGGCCUCCCCUGACCACGCUCCCUGCCCUUACUGGAGAAUUUUAGGCAGGGCUCUAUCCCUGGUCACAUCCCAGCCCCUCAAUGGGAAGAUUUUAGGCGGGGCUCUACCAGGGAGCCUCACCCCCAGCCUCCAUGAAAUUCUUUUUGUUUUGGAGACAAGGUUUCUUUGUGUAGCCCUGGCUGACCUGGAACUCUGUCGACCAAACUGGUCUCAAACUCAAAGAGUUCUGCCUGCCUCGGCCUCCUGAGUGCUGGGAUUGAAGGCAUGCAUUAUCACCUCCUGGAUAAUGUUCUUGUAAAUGUAAAAAAGAAAAGCUUGGUGUUUCACAGGCUGAGACUAGAAUACAAUAAAAUGGUUACCAAAUAGUCUGUUUUUAUACUUCUCUGCUGGAGAACGAUGGACAGGAUCCUGCGCAGUGGUUCUGUGGCAACACACAUUUUUUUCUAAAGAUUUAUUUAUUUUAUGUAUAGGAGUACACUGUAGCUAUACAGAUGGUUGUGACAGAUGCUUGUGCCAUCAUGUGAUUGCUGGGAAUUGAACUCAGCACCUCUGCUUGCUCUGGCCCCGCUCGUUGUGGCCCAAAGAUUCAUUUAUUAUCAUACACUGUAGCUGUCUUUAGGCACACCAGAUUUCAUUACAGAUGGUUGUGAGCCACCAUGUGGUUGCUGGGAUUUGAACUCAGAUCCUUCAGAAGAGCAGUCAGUGCUCUUACCCACUGAGCCAUCUCACCAGCCUGACACACAUUUUUGAUCCCAGCACUCAAGAGGCCAAAGUAGGAAAAUUACAAGAUUCAGGGCAGGAUCUCUUCCCCCUUCAAAGAUGUUUCAUUUGAGGAAGAACAAUCAGUCUUAGUCGGGCAGUGGUGGCACACUUUAAUACCUCUGGGAGGCAGAGGCAGGCGGAUUUCUGAGUUCGAGGCCAGCCUGGUCUACAAAGUGAGUUCCAGGACAGCCAGGGCUAUACAGAGGAACCCUGUCUGGAAAAACAAAAACAAAACAAAACAAAAUCAGUCUUGACCACUGGGCUUCCGAGGGUGGAAUGGCCUGCCUUCUCAGAACAGCCUUCUGGUUCCAGAUCUAGUCAGACCAGGGCAUUGAUACACCUGCUGAGCGUCUAACGUUCAACCUGCAGGACACAGGAAAACUGAGUCCUAGCAAUGAUAGUGAGUGGGUGGCUGGCUUCACCAUCAAGACCAGGUCUGCACGGCCCUACCCAGCACUCACAGAUGAAGCUCUUGAGUGUCACCCACCACACUCGUGGGUACCCAUUGGUCACUGUGAGGGCUGGGGCCAUAGGGCUGCAGCAGGUGGAGGCCAUGGUGACCACCUGAGCCACUGUCAGUGCCAGCCCAUUUCUCACUAAAGCAGAAAUAAGCAAGGUGGCUGUGGUCCACGGGUUCGCUGCCCUGGCUCUUUGGAGGGAUCAAGGCUUUUGUGUCUGACAGGGUGGUAUGUUCUAGGCAACUGUGGAAGACCAAGGCUGAUGGCAGCAAGCUUGGAGAAUCCCUGAGCUCUGAAAAGCCAGAGGCUGUGGCUUAGGUCACAGUACUGUUGAAAUAGUCAACUCUGGGACAUUUGAAUUUGUUUUGCUUAAAAAAAAAAAAAAGAUUUUAUUUAUGUGAGUACACUGUUGCUGUCUUCAGACACCAGAAUCAAAUCUUGUUACAGAUGGUUGUGAGCCACCAUAUGGUUGCUGAGAAUUGAACUCAGGACCUUUGGAAGAAUAGUCAAACCUCCAGCCAUCUCUCCAGCCCCCUGAAUUUGCUUUUCAAAGUCACUUAAAUAGUUCACUCCUUUUUUCUGCUAUCUGUUGAAUCUUAUUCAAAGGCAUUUUUUUCAUACUCGAAUGAAAGCAGUCUAUCAUGUCUUAGGUAAUUAUCCUUUGUUGACAUUCUCUGUAUCCUGAAACCAUUGCUGGUCGUUAAUCUUUUAGAAGCCCAAGGUGAUCCAUUGUGCAGAACACAGCGUUGUGUUUAUUAAAACAGACAGGGUCUCAAUAUGUAGUCCAGGCUAGCCUCAAACUUAUUGCUAUUUUUCUGUAUCCAUCUCCCAAGUCCCAGGAUAACAGACACCACUACCACCACCUUACACUUCCCUUCCUGGGUGCUGGGGGAGGGAUGGAUAGUGGUUAUGUAACCCUGAUCGUCCCAGAGCUUGUUCUGUAGACCAAGCUGUCCUGGUACAAGAGAUUCUUCUGCUUCCAGAGUGCUGGGAAGCAUAUGCCACCAUGUGCACACUUGUCCUAAUUUUAAAAUUACAUUUGUGUGUAUUUGCACAGGUUUGGCUUCCAAGUGUUCUUUUUGUUGUUGUUUUGCUUUUUAAAGACAGGGUCUAUCUCUGGCUGUCCUGGAACUCACUAUAUAGAUCAGGCUGGCCUCAAACUUGUUUGGCUUAUUUAAGACAAGUUUAUUACUCUGUGUUGCCCUGUCCUGGGUCUCUCUUCAAAAACCAGGCUGGCCUCAAACUCAGAGAUCUGCCUGCCUCUGCCUCCACAGUACUGGGAUUAAAGGAGCACUACUAAGCCCAGCUGGCCUCAAAAUUUGUGAUGUAGCCAAGGAUGGAUAGCAACUCCCGAUUCAGCCCAAACUGUAGCCUGGUCCCAGGAGUCUCUGGAUACCAGUGAAGAUCCCAUGCCAGCUGCUACUGAAGUCCCAGGGACUAGCUAGGCAGAGAUGGAUCCUGCUGAAGGUCCUGUGGAGAAUCCUUUAGCAGUGUGGCUCUUGGGUGCCACCUGGUGGUGAUGUGAGAAACCGGGGGCUCCCCCUACGACACUGAAUAACCUGCAGGCCCCCUCCUCUCUUACUUUUGCAUUUGAUAUUGAGGAUAGUUUUGUCACACAGUUCCAACCCCAGCCCCAGCUGUGUUGAGACAGGGUUUUCCUAUGGAUCCCAGGUCAGGUCUUCAGGGUACAGAUUCUGCUCAUCAAAGGGCCUGUGAGCUCACCUUCCCUCCUCCCUGCUGGGUCCCUGACAGUGACAUUAAGGUUUGAAUUUCCUAGCAAUUUCCACAGAGACACUGGAAACCCUUCAGUGUCUCCCCUCCAGGCCUGAAGCCUGCUGUGGGUACCUGGAGCCUUCAGGCCAGAAUCUGCACCUGUCUUGCAGAUUUCUGCCCACUACAUCCCUCCAGUCCUCUCUCCUUGGGAUUCCUAUAUAUAUAGGAAUAUAUAUAUAUGCUGUUGCAGCUGGUUCUCUCUAGGAGUACAAGUCACUUACAUGUCCCCAAGUGAACAAGAAGCAUUUGGAAGUGAAUGACAGAAAAGUGGGAACCAGAGGUGAGCACUUGGGCCUGGGUUUCCCUUUCUCAGGAAACUCCAGCUCAGGACAGGGCUCCCUUCCUGCUCUCUCUGGUGACCCAAGGAUAAGACACUGGAGACACCAUGAAAGCCACUCUACUGGUUUUAUUCCAGAGGACUCUAAAUGCUCACUUAUGCCUGGGAAAAUGACCAGUGCCUGCUAGGAGUCUGCUACAAAGCUCAUGUCAUUUCGUUGGCACCAAGUGGGUGUGAUGGGUCUAGACGAGAUAAGACACUUUUGGUGGCUUUAGCACUUAAUGCCACCAUAGGGAGCGGUGCCCCAAGGGCUAGAGACAAGGGCCUUAUUUUCAAGAUUGCUAACAUGACAUUACAGAUGACAGCUGCACCAGAACCCAGCCCAUGAACACUUUAACAAGGAGACAGGAGCUACAUGCAAGAGCCAUUGUUACUUGGGCAAGGUGAGUUGCACAAUUCAAGCUGGCCUGGAACCAACAUCCCUCCUGUCUUUCCAAAUGAUGGUGUCUGGUGUCAUGGGUUAAGAGCUGCUUCAUGCUAAUUUAAGAAAACCCUUAGAGGGCUGAGCCUUGGUAGACAGAAGGUUCCUCCCAUUGUUGUCAAAAACUAAGAAACCCACAGCUGGACAAUGCAGAAAGGGAAACCUCAGGCACAAAUGGGAUCUCUCCAUCACACCCCAGGGCUCAGGGCACUAUGAGAAAGAGAAGGUGGGAAAAAUCUCCAAGGAACAGUGUCUUCCAGACACAACAGGUCUGACACAUAAACUCAGCAAAAGUAGCAGAAUGCACAGGUUCAAGGAAGACAGGUCUCCAUUUCUGAGAAGGGCUGGCACUCCCACCACUACCUAAGAAGCUAUGUCUAGUUGACACCCACAGAUGAAGGAAAAUCAGCUUUCCCCAUUGAAGUGCCCUGGGUUUAUUAAGCAACACUUCAGGCCAUGCCCCAUAGUUGGUCAACACAAAAUGAACUCUGGUAUUUCUGUACACACUUUUCUUUGCUUGGGAGCAUUCUUAAAAAUCUUAUUGUUUACCUUUAUAUUUUUGUUUCCACCUUUGUGGUUUUUCUGUGUCUGUGUGUGUGCUACUAAAAAUAGAACAGAACAGAACGGAAAGGAAAGGAAGAAAAGAAGAAAGUUUGAAGGGAGCCGGGCAUGGUGG
rnacentral:lncRNA from 1 species